AGACAGCCAGGAGGGCAGCAAGAGCUUCAAGCUGUGCUCCUGGUGCCCCACCUCUCCCCCUGAGUGCUGUCACAGGCAGAGGGAGGGACCAGCAGGGCCUGGGCCUGAGAGCAGUGCCAGAGGCCCAGGCAGGGCAGGUGUGGGCAGAGCUGUUGUGCAGGCGCAGAGAAGCUGCAGAGAGGCCACGGAGAGCGGGCCUGGCCAUGUGGAGUGCCCUGUGCGUGGGCUUCUUGCCCAUUGUAGCAGUCACUGGCCAGGUGGCCUUGGAGCAGCAGCCCAGGGAAAUGACCGUGCGAGAGGGAGAUGAAUUCACCUUUCACUGCAGCAUGAAGGGAGAUCGUAUGAGCAGCUACUUCAUGUACUGGUACCGUCAGGGCCCACAGGGCUCUCUGGAAAGGAUUUACGAGAGCUUUGCAGAUGCCUAUGGAGAUGGUUUCCAAGAUCGCUUUAAGGGAAGAGUGCAGAGCUCCAAGAACAGCUUCACACUGCAGCUCCUGGCAGCAGAGCUAGGGGAUGCAGCAACGUAUUACUGUGGAGCAGAACCACCCUGGAGCAGCUCUGCAGCAGAGUGAACCAAAAACCAGCAGAUGGGGAAGACAGAUCUCUCAGCAUUUCUUUCUGGCAGCUGCUCCCCAGGGCUCUUGUCAGGCAAUGGCAGGUGCAGGAAACCUCCCUCUGGCGGGGUGGCACUAAAAGGCACUGGAGGGAGGGCUGCUGGAAGGGCUGGUACCAUUGAUGGUGCAGGAGGAUCUGUGCUGGGAGCUGCAGAGGCUGCAGUUUGGGCAAGUGCAGGGUU